rnacentral:rRNA from 1 species
GACGAACCGUGCGAACGUUGUUCGGAAUCACUGGGCUUAAAGGGCGCGUAGGCGGGCAGGCGAGUCCGGGGUGAAAUCUUUCGGCUCAACCGGAAAAGGGCCUCGGAGACCGGCUGCCUCGAGGAAAGUAGGGGCAUGCGGAACUUCCGGUGGAGCGGUGAAAUGCGUUGAUAUCGGAAGGAACGCCGGUGGCGAAAGCGGCGUGCUGGACCUUUACUGACGCUGAGGCGCGAAAGCCAGGGGAGCGAACGGG